rnacentral:rRNA from 1 species
GACGAACGCUGGCGGCGUGCUUAACACAUGCAAGUCGAGCGGUAAGGCCCUUUCGGGGGUACACGAGCGGCGAACGGGUGAGUAACACGUGGGUGACCUGCCCUCAGCUCUGGGAUAAGCCUGGGAAACCGGGUCUAAUACUGGAUAUGACUCCAUGACGCAUGUUGUGGGGUGGAAAGCCUUGUGCGGCUGAGGAUGGGCCCGCGGCCUAUCAGCUUGUUGGUGGGGUGANGGCCUACCAAGGCGACGACGGGUAGCCGGCCUGAGAGGGCGACCGGCCACACUGGGACUGAGACACGGCCCAGACUCCUACGGGAGGCAGCAGGUGGGGAAUCUUGCGCAAUGGGCGAAAGCCUGACGCAGCGACGCCGCGUGAGGGAUGACGGCCU